AAGCGUUGUUCGGAAUUAUUGGGCGUAAAGCGCGUGUAGGCGGUUUGUUAAGUCUGAUGUGAAAGCCCUGGGCUCAACCCAGGAAGUGCAUUGGAUACUGGCAGACUUGAAUACGGGAGAGGGCAGUGGAAUUCCUGGUGUAGGAGUGAAAUCCGUAGAUAUCAGGAGGAACACCGGUGGCGAAGGCGGCUGCCUGGACCGAUAUUGACGCUGAGACGCGAAAGCGUGGGUAGCAAACAGGAUUAGAUACCCUGGUAGUCCACGCCGUAAACGAUGAGUACUAGGUGUUGCGGGUAUUGACCCCUGCAGUGCC
rnacentral:rRNA from 1 species